rnacentral:rRNA from 1 species
GGGCCCGCACAAGCGGUGGAGCAUGUGGUUUAAUUCGAUGAUACGCGAGGAACCUUACCUGGGCUUAAAUGCAUAGUGACAGACUGGGAAACCAGUCCUUCUUCGGACACUUUGCAAGGUGCUGCAUGGUUGUCGUCAGCUCGUGCUGUGAGGUGUCGGGUUAAGUCCCAUAACGAGCGCAACCCCUAUCCUUAGUUGCCAGCGAGUAAUGUCGGGGACUCUAGGGAAACUGCCGGUGCAAACCGUGAGGAAGGUGGGGAUGACGUCAAAUCAUCACGGCCCUUACGUCCAGGGCUACACACGUGCUACAAUGGCGGAUACAAAGGGCAGCUACAUGGUGACAUGAUGCUAAUCUCGAAAGUCCGUCUCAGUUCGGAUCGAAGUCUGCAACUCGACUUCGUGAAGCUGGAAUCGCUAGUAA